rnacentral:rRNA from 1 species
AGAGCGAACGCUGGCGGCAGGCCUAACACAUGCAAGUCGAACGGAUCCUUCGGGAUUAGUGGCGGACGGGUGAGUAACACGUGGGAACGUGCCUUUUGGUUCGGAACAACUCAGGGAAACUUGAGCUAAUACCGGAUGUGCCCUUCGGGGGAAAGAUUUAUCGCCAUUAGAGCGGCCCGCGUCUGAUUAGCUUGUUGGUGAGGUAAAGGCUCACCAAGGCUACGAUCAGUAGCUGGUCUGAGAGGAUGAUCAGCCACAUUGGGACUGAGACACGGCCCAAACUCCUACGGGAGGCAGCAGUGGGGAAUCUUGCGCAAUGGGCGAAAGCCUGACGCAGCCAUGCCGCGUGAAUGAUGAAGGUCUUAGGAUUGUAAAAUUCUUUCACCGGGGAAGAUAAUGACUGUACCCGGAGAAGAAGCUCCGGCUAACUUCGUGCCAGCAGCCGC